rnacentral:tRNA from 3 species
GCGUUCUUAGCUCAGUUGGUUAGAGCACUACCUUGACAUGGUAGGGGUCGGAGGUUCGAGUCCUCUAGAACGCACCA